UAUUAAGUAUUAAGUAUUUAGUGUUUAGUUUAAGUAUUUAGUAAUAAGUUUAAGUAUUUAGUAUUAAGAAUAAGUAUUUAGUGUUAAGAGUUAGUAUUUAGUUGAGUUAAGUUUACUUUCAUUGAUCUUAAUGUAUCUCACCACUGAUGAAUUGUCUUCCUCUGAAUCAGUUCCUGCUCCUCUGUUAACAGUCUUCUUACUCCAGCUUCAGCCUCAACAGCAACAGUUAUCACCUGCCAGAACACCUGCUCCACCCUCCAGCCUCCACCUGUUACUUCUACCAGACAAAACAUCAGCCUUGAGCUGCAGCCUGUGAGAUGACAGACUCCUCUCCACCUGUAGCCUCUGUCUCUCUGUUGCCUACAUCCUCUACCAGCAGCUUCAGCAUCAAACUGCUGCCUCACUCUUCACCUGCAGCCUCUGUCAGCAACCUGCAGCCAUCUCCUCCAACUGCACAUUCUGUUGAAUAACUGAUGGCUGAACCUCCAUCUACAGCCUUUGCCAGUGCCUAUACCUCUCGAAGUGAACUGCUAUCCGAGCCUCCACCCACAGCCUCUGUCAGCAACCUGCAGCUUCCGCCUCCACCUGCAGAUUCCUACAGCCAUCUGAAGACGACCACUGGGGGAGUGGUCGUCUUCAGAUGAAGAUCCCCACAGAAAGCUGUGGCCAAACCUCCACCUACAGCCUCUAUAAGGAAACCUGCACAGAUGUUAUCCUACUGCCAUGUGGAGACCUGAGUGGAGCAGCAAGGACCAGAGAAACACACGUGUUUUCAAACGUUGUGAAAGACUGAGCUCACACUCCUCAACAUGAACCUGACUGACUGUGAUGCCUUCAUGAAACGAGAGAGCUCCACUGUACGUACAGUAUAGCAAUCUACCAGGAGCUGCUUCAGGGCCCUGAGGACAACUCCUUUUACAACAGCUCUGUUCCAGAGAUGCUUCCUCCUCCUCCACAUCCUCCACCUUCACCACCCCUCCUGCUCAUCGCCAGAACUAAGAGUGCCCCACCCCAUCUCAGCAACCACCACCAGUUUCUCCUGCAGCCACCGCCUCCAUAUGUAGAUUCUGACAGACACUGCUGACAGCCAAACCUCCUCCCACAGCUUCUGCCAGUGCACCUGCGUCUACACCUCUUGAAGCCAACUGCGGCUGAACCUCCACCCACAGCCUCUGUCAGCAACCUGAACCAGCACCUACACCUCUCGUACACUACUGCCAUCCAAACCUCCACCUGUAACCUUUGCCAGCCGCCUGAAGACACCUCCUCCACCUGAAGAUCCCCACAGAAAGCUGGGGUCAAACCUCCACCUUCCGCCUCUAUAAGGAAACCUGCACAGAUGUUAUCCUACUGCUAUGGUUGGAUCUAAGUGGAACAGCAACGACCAGAGAAACACUGGUGUUUCCAUACGUUGUGUGAAAGACUGAGCACACACUCCUCAACAUGAACCUGACUGAUUGUGAUGAUGCCUUCAUGAAACAGAAAGAGCUCCUCUUCCUCCCACUUGCCUUGUUGGACUUCCAGAUCAAGAGAUGCUUCCUCCUCCCUAUCGUGCACGUUCACCACCCUUCCUGCUCAUUGCCAGGACUAAAAAUGCCCCUCCCCAUCUCUGCAACCACCAGCACUUUCUACGCAUGCCGAUUCAUUGAAGGCCAAAGAUUGCAGAGACGCUCCACCCGAGACUUCAGUGCCUUACUUUUCCAACAACGCCCCCUAAUACGACGUCCAAUGUGCUCUUUUAAGCCUCUGCACUGUUUUACAAUAAAUG